AAUAAUCGCAGUCAUGAGUUUCCGUGUCCAACUUUAAUCGUUCGUCUUAUUUAAUAUUUUUUUAAAAAAAUACAAAAACAUAUGUAUUCAUGUUUUAUAAUCUAAUAACAAUAAAAAUACUAAUCAUAAAAAAAUUUCAAAUAAGACGGAAGAUAAAAAUUGGACACGGAAACUUAUGGUUGCGCUUAUU
rnacentral:pre_miRNA from 1 species